rnacentral:lncRNA from 10 species
GGGGCCAGACUGCCUGGAUUCAUAGCUUGACUCUGCCACUUUUAGAUAUAUGACUGUAGGUGAGUCAUAUGAUCUCCUUGUGUUCAAUUUCUUGGGUUGUUGUCAGGAUCGAAUGAGUUAAUUACACAUAAAACAUGUAGAGCAAUACUUAUCAAUUAAUAGUACUUAACUAUUAUUGUGUAGUGUAAGUGCUUAAUUAUUGUAGUAUACGACUAAACUAUGUGGAGUUAUGAAGAAGGCUGAUAGGUGAGGGGAUGCUCAAUGGCCUUGAUGUCCUCCGCAAAGUAAACAUUGAAGUAAUCUGAUGAUUCAGAGGAGAGUGCGAGGCGAGAGUCUUAAAAGUGUGUGAAGAAGGUUAUAAUUGACUUUUGGAGACUGUGGAAUUACUAAAAGCCUAGUAAGAUGAUAUUUGUAAGGUCCUAUGAGGGCAUUAUCAGGUAGACAUGCAUGGCACUUGUUCGAAGUGUCUUCCUACAAGAAUGUUCUGGCCUGGAAGCGAGAUUGGAGACUUUGGAACUCCAGGGAUGAUAGUAAGGGUUGAAGAUUGCCAAUGGUGGAUGAACAAGGGGUUGAGGAAGAAUAGGUAUGGUGAAGGCAGCAGAAAAGUCGACGAUGAUUCAAAGCCUGGCUAAAAAGCCAGAUAUCAUUAGGUGGACUCAGUAAAGUAAGAGCAGUAAUGUGAUUGAAAGUUGCUGAGAAGGUAGAAAGUGGCUGGUUUAGAAAGUUUUGAGAGCUAGGCGUGAGCCACUGUGCCCAGUCAAAUUUCCUGUUUUAAGAAUGA